UUAAACUAUUAAAUAAGAGUUAAUUAAUUCAAUAAAAAUAAUAUAGAAAAUUAAAAAUAAUUUAUAUAAAAAAAUAAUUUUUAAUGGUGAAAUAUAAAAAAUUGUAAAUUUAUAUAAUUUAAUAUAAUAUAAUUUAAAAGUUUAUGAAAUAAACUAGGAUUAGAUACCCUAUUAUAAUAAAAAAAAAUAAAUUAAUAUUGAAGUAUUAAAUGUUAAAUCAUUAAAUUUAUAAGAUUUGGCGGUAUUUUAUACAAAUUAGGGGAACUUGUUUAGUAAUUGAUGAACCACGAUAAGAUUUACUUAAUUUAAUAUUUAUGUAUUGCUGUUUAAAGAUAUAUUUUAAGAAUAUAAGUUAUAAGUUAAAAAUAUAAAAUAAUUCAAGUCAAAAUAUAGUUUAGUUAAGAUAAAAUGAGUUACAAAAAAAUAAAUUUAUAUGAAUUUUUAUAUUUAAUAAUAAAAUGAAGGUGGAUUUAAGAGUAAAUUUAAUAAAUAAAUUAAUUUGAAAUUUUGUUUUAAAAU
rnacentral:rRNA from 1 species